CAUUAUUGAAUGGAACUUUUUUGGCUCGAUGCUGUUGUGGCUGGCCCUUUGGGGCAAUGUGCACACAGCUCUUGCCAUUGGUUUCUUCUGUUCCACCUGUGCACUGCCUGUAGAUACACACUCUGUGUCUAUGAUAUUGUUACACACAUGCACAUGAUUUGUUUUUGGCACACAUGUAUUAAAAAGAAAGUACAACUUUCAACAAUGGAUCUCUUGGCUCUCGCAUCGAUGAAGAACACAGCGAAAUGUGAUAAGUAAUGUGAAUUGCAGAAUCCAGUGAAUCAUCGAAUCUUUGAACGCAUCUUGCGCUCCUUGGCAUUCCGAGGAGCAUGCCUGUUUGAGUGUCAUUAAACUGUCAAAAGCACUUUCAUUUUCUUUUGUGAGUGUUUUUGGACUUUUGGGAGUGCUGGCAAGCCAGCUCUCCUCAAAAGCAAAAUUAGCUUUGGAGACUGUCAGUAUGAUAAUGUUUAUGCUGACCUGAGUGUCUCUACUUCUGUCCCUUCAAUUUGACCUCAAAUCAGGUAGGACUACCCGCUGAACUUAAGCAUAUCAAUAAGCGGAGGAAAAGAAACUAACAAGGAUUCCCCUAGUAACUGCGAGUGAAGCGGGAAAAGCUCAAAUUUGAAAUCUGGCAGUCUUUUUUUUCUUCUUUGGCUGUCUGAGUUGUAAUCUAGAGAAGUGCUUACCUGUGCUGGACCAUGUAUAAGUCUCCUGGAAUGGAGCGUCACAGAGGGUGAGAAUCCCGUCUUUGACAUGGACUGCCAGUGCAUUGUGGUGCGCUCUCAAAGAGUCGAGUUGUUUGGGAAUGCAGCUCUAAACGGGUGGUAAACUCCAUCUAAAGCUAAAUAUUGGCGAGAGACCGAUAGCGAACAAGUACCGUGAGGGAAAGAUGAAAAGGACUUUGGAAAGAGAGUUAAACAGUAUGUGAAAUUGUUGAAAGGGAAACGCUUGAAGUCAGUUAUGUCAGUCAGGGAUCAGCCUAGCUGUCUUUUGCUGGGUGAAUUUCCUGGUCUGACAGGCCAACAUCAGUUCUGGCUGUCAGAAAAGAGCAGAGGGAAUGUGGCACCUUCGGGUGUGUUAUAGCCUUUUGUCAUAUGUGGCAGUCGGGACUGAGGGAUGCAGCAUGCCAUGAGGCCGGGUUCGACCACG
rnacentral:rRNA from 1 species